AGGCUGGAAGUCUGAAAGCAGGGUGUCAGCAGGGCCACGCUCCUUCCACGACUCUGAGUGGAAUCCUUCCUUGCCUCUUCCGGCUCUGGAAGUGGCCGGCAAUCCUGGGCAUCCCCCGGCUCACAGCUACAUCCCUCCACUCUCUGCGUCUGUGGCCACACAGCGGCUUCUCCCCGUGUCUCCGUCUCACGUGACUUUUCCCCUUCUCAUAAGGACACCAGUCACACGGGAUCAGGGCCCACGCUGAUGACCUGAUCUUACCUCGAUGACAUCUGCUGUGACCAAAUAAGGUCACAUUCACAGAAGCAGCCCGGUGAUGCGGAGGCGACAAACUCUGUUUUGUUCUUCAGCUGAGACUCAGAGAAGUUCAAUAACCCACCAAAGGCGGCACAGCUAGUAACUGCCGGAGCUGGGAUUUGCACCUGGGACCAGCCCUGCUCCUAGUGUUUUCCCCUGCAUCCCAGAGCAGCUCUGGGAGAGCUGGCCCGGGGGUCUUGGGCUGAAGAUUCUGGAAGGGGGCUGGGCAGGGGGUGGGGGGAGCAGGGCCCAUUGCCCCCGAUUCAAGGUAGAGAAAGGCAAGUAAGGCGCGGGAGGCAGGGCAGAGGGUCUGGGCUGGUACCCUGAGCUCUGCCGGAAGCCACUCUGGGCCGCGGCGGGGACGGAGGCUGCCCCUUAUCCCAGCUUCACGCAAACCAAUAAUUUUCCACAAUUAUCUGGAAAAGAUUAAUUAGCAAAGUGCGCCAUAUUGACUCAAGGCUGCCCUGGCGAUCGAUAAACUUGGGAGAGUCUCCCAGGUGCCUGGAGAAAGGACCAGAACUUGAAACUGGGGAGGGAAGCCCGGCUUUGACAGAUCUGAGCCUCAUCUUGCAGCCCUGGGGAGAGGAGAGCAGGCUCCCCAGGGGGUGUAGGGGGCCGGUGGGACGGCCGCUGUGGAGGGAACCCCUCUUCUCUCGGGCUCCACUUCCCUUUGCUGAUGUGGCAGCCUGCUGGGGGCUGAGGGAGCGUAAAGGAUCCGCCGUGGCUGCCUUUUCCAGGGUGAACGAGGACAUCUGGUCUUCGUGAAGAACCACAGAAGGUCCACCUGUUCUGGUUGGGGCAGAACUGAGUGUGGUCAGAAGGGCAGGAUUGGGCUCAGGUGGACCCACCCCCCACUCCCUGCUGGGUGCCCCCCCACAGUCUCCUGGCCUCUCUGGGCCUCGGUGCCCUCCUCUGAGACCCAGCGGUUGAGAGUUUCUUCAGUGGGCCCGUGGACACCCGCAGCCCAGCCCUGUGCCCGGCCCGGAGCAGGUGCGGGGCUAACGGAGGCCGCUGUCACCAUGGACCAGAUCUCCACUCGUCCUGCAUCCGUGAGCAUCCCGGCAGGACCCAGCGAGCCGCUCGGAGGGCACAGCCUCCGUGGCGUCACGCGUUCGUCUAAUAGCGCCUGGGCUCCUGCCAUGUGCCAGGCCCACGCCAGGCCCCGACCCAAGCUGCGGAGAAACUGAGAAUCAUUUGUCCUGCAAUGAAAACUGACAGAGCAUCUCCUAUGAGCUCGGCUCUGGGGACACAGUAGUGACAAGACCAUGCUGGACUCUGCUCUUGUGAGGUCCACGGUGUCUCAGGGAGGCUGACUUCAAGCUGAAGUUUCUGGAGCCUGGGUGCUGUGUCAGGGUGACCCAGAGGGCUGCAGGAUGGGGGGGUCAGCCGUGUGCAUCGAGGAAAGAGCCCCCUCAUGUAUUCUCAGCCCGGGAGCUGGGAGGCUGUCCCCGGAUGGCAGGCACAGUGUGCAAAGCCCCGGGAGAUGGGCCCGGGCAGCCCUAAAUCCUGGGCACGGAAGGUCCCCGGCGGGCUGGAUGCCUCAUUCAGGUGCCUUCCCCUCCCUGUGCCUCCCCUCCCUGGUCUGUCCCCCACUGCCUCACCUCCUUCCAGGCCCGGAGGCCGCCUGCCUGCCGCCCCCUGGCCGCUCCCCAGUCCGGGUCAGCCGCCUGUCCCCGCUGUAUUCAUCAAGGGCAUGACAGCUAAAAUUCAUUUGAAGAUGAAGAAAGUGCCCGCUAAUCCGUUCUGCGAGACAUUGAUAGACUAGCAGCUCAGGGAGAAUUGCACAGCAGUAAUGAAAUUAGGCUAAAACUGCUGGCGGAUUGCAGAUAAUUGCCCUUGUCUGUCACUCGGAAUAACAUCUCCCAAAUCCAACACAAGGAUUGUUCAACUUGCAGGAAUUUCUUUUCUUUUCUUUCUUUCUUUCUUUCUUUCUUUCUUUCUUUCUUUCUUUCGGAAAGGCAGGGGAGGCAAAGCCAAUGGGGGGCUUUGUCUCUCAGAGGUCUGAGCAGGUGGGGCUGGUCUCACCGUGGUGACAAAGUCCCCGGGCCCGGAGCCCUGGCCUCCACCGCUCAGGACAAGGGGGCGGAGAAAGGGGCUGGGCCGCAGUCCCAGGACAUUCCUCCCAGGCCCCUUGUGGGUCCCCCCCCCCCCCCGGGAGCCUUGAUUUCUCCCUCAUGCCCACUCCCUUCCACCAGUAGGUUCUAGCCGGCAAAGCCCUAGGUGGAAAGUGGUAAGCAGGGAAAUCGUGCAGAACUAGAGCUCCAGUGAGGUGCCUGGGUGGCUCAGUCGAUUACGCAUCCGACUUCAGCUCAGGUCAUGA